GACGAACGCUGGCGGCGUGCUUAACACAUGCAAGUCGAACGAAGAGCGAUGGAAGCUUGCUUCUAUCAAUCUUAGUGGCGAACGGGUGAGUAACGCGUAAUCAACCUGCCCUUCAGAGGGGGACAACAGUUGGAAACGACUGCUAAUACCGCAUACGAUCCAAUCUCGGCAUCGAGGAUAGAUGAAAGGUGGCCUCUACAUGUAAGCUAUCACUGAAGGAGGGGAUUGCGUCUGAUUAGCUAGUUGGAGGGGUAACGGCCCACCAAGGCGAUGAUCAGUAGCCGGUCUGAGAGGAUGAACGGCCACAUUGGGACUGAGACACGGCCCAGACUCCUACGGGAGGCAGCAGUGGGGAAUCUUCCGCAAUGGACGAAAGUCUGACGGAGCAACGCCGCGUGAGUGAUGACGGCCUUCGGGUUGUAAAGCUCUGUUAAUCGGGACGAAAGGCCUUCUUGCGAAUAGUGAGAAGGAUUGACGGUACCGGAAUAGAAAGCCACGGCUAACUACGUG
rnacentral:rRNA from 1 species